rnacentral:rRNA from 1 species
AGCAGCCGCGGUAAUUCCAGCUCCAAUAGCGUAUAUUAAAGUUGUUGCAGUUAAAAAGCUCGUAGUUGAAUUUCGGGAUCAGUUCGUCGGUCGUGCCUUUGGUAUGUACUGGUGUUACUGGUUCCUCCCUUCUGACGAACCGUCAUGUCAUUAAUUUGGUGUGGCGGGAAAUCAGGACUGUUACUUUGAAAAAAUUAGAGUGUUUAAAGCAGGCUCGCGCUUGAAUACAUUAGCAUGGAAUAAUGAAAUAGGACGUUCGAUCCUAUUUUGUUGGUUUCUAGGAUUGACGUAAUGAUUAAUAGGGAUAGUUGGGGGCAUUAGUAUUCAAUUGUCAGAGGUGAAAUUCUUGGAUUUAUUGAAGACUAACUACUGCGAAAGCAUUUGCCAAGGAUGUUUUCAUUAAUCAAGAACGAAAGUUAGGGGAUCGAAGACGAUCAGAUACCGUCGUAGUCUUAACCAUAAACUAUGCCGACUAGGGAUCGGAUGAUGUUAAUUUUUAAUGACUCAUUCGGCGCCUUAC